GAUGAAGAACGUAGCGAAAUGCGAUAAGUAAUGCGAAUUGCAGAAUUCCGUGAGUCAUCGAAUCUUUGAACGCACAUUGCGCCCUCUGGUAUUCCGGAGGGCAUGCCUGUCUGAGCGUCAUUGUCAACCCUCAAGCUCAGCUUGCUGUUGGGUCCCCGUCGUUGCUUUAACGGCGGACCCGAAAGGUAAUGGCAGAGUCCGUGAGACCCUAGACGCAGCGAGCUUCUAGCACGCGUCUGGACGUUUUUCGGGCUCGCUCUUAACUAGAUGAUAACUUCCGAUUGACCUCAGAUCAGGUAGGGAUACCCGCUGAACUUAAGCAUAUCAAUAAGCGGAGGA
rnacentral:misc_RNA from 1 species